AGGAAUCCAGGGCACAGAAAGAGUUAAAGGAAAAGCUUGUCAAAACUUUGCUAUUGGUGCCACGAGCAUCUCUCUCUCUCUCUCUCUCUCUCUCUCUCUCUCUCUCUCCCUCGCUCUUUCUCUCAUGAAACAGCUGCGUGCAGAGAGAGAAAUCUGUUCAAGUCUCUCCACUGUCUAAAGAAAGAAAAGAGAACCGGUGGGUAAAAUCAGCUCUCAGUCAGCUGUCCGCAAGGCAGAUGGAUUUGUCGCCAUUCCUUUGCUCUAAGGGAGAAUGAGCAACCCAGCUGGAGAAGUGAGACAGCUAAGGAAGAAGCAGUACCAGUUUGUGCCUAUCACACUGCCAAGUGUGAACAUUCAGAAGGAACCCUACUUCAUCUGUGCUCUCUCUGGAAAGUCACAUCUUCUGGGUCUAGUAAGCCCAACAGCAAAGAUCUCACCGAUCUGGACAAAAGGUGUCUGUGGGACAACCCGUAAGAAGAUGCCUCUCAAAUAGAGUCCUUCUGGGGUCAAACCCUUUCGGAUUCCUUCCAGCAGCAAAAGAGCAAGCAAAGCCUUGGGAGAAGAUGACUGUCCAUGAAAAGAGCUUUCCAACGCAACUUGAAGAUUUAUAGCAUCUCCGAGAAUUUACUUCAUACUCCAAUGCAUGAAUCCAACAAGGACCCCUUUCUUGGACUGUGUAAAAAAAGUAGCAAUGUGUUUAUGAGUGAACGGAGGAGAAUGGACAAGGCCUGACUAAGCAAUGACUGAACUUGUUUUCAGACACCAUGGAAAUCUUACUGGCCGUGCUCACCCACACCCAACAUUGGCUACAGAAGCAGCAAUCGCAGAUAAGUAUUCUAACCUGUAUAUGUACGUGGGGCUGUUCCUGACCCUGCUAGCCAUCUUGCUCAUUCUUCUGUUCACAAUGCUUCUCCGCUUAAAGCAUGUUAUAUCUCCCAUCACCACAUCUCCAGAGAGAACGGAGAACACCCAGGAAUUCACAGAUGUGGAAAUGCAUACCAGGAUUCCCAGCCCUUAAAAAAUGGGACACAACGGGCUGCACAGAAACAUUGAAGAUGCAUCUUUUGGUUCACUGGAUGAAAUGUGGGAACAUUGUCCACUGUUGGACCAGCUGAAAACGGUCCAGGCAAAUAAGGUUUCAGGACAGCUAAAGGCUGCAAUGGACAGGAGCAGGACCCUGGGGAACAAUUAUGGAGGCAUACAAUAGAUACAGGUUUAUAGAUUGAGGACCAUGGAUAGCAACCAAAGAAUACAUUCCUUGAUCCAAAGCCUUGCCCAAAGCAAUUUAUAGAUUUUAAUAGUCUGUCUUAGAUUUAUUUUAGCAGCUCUGCCUCUUCAAGGCUUGUCUCAUAUUUUCAAAAGAUCAUCACUAUCAUCUUCAGUUGGGAGAGAGGGCCUAUAGUUUUGCAUUUGGAACUGCACUAUUAGUUAGAAGGAUAGUGAUCUUGUUGAAUAAAGUUGCUUUUCAGAAUAUUCUGGAGGCCUAGGUCAAUAUAAAAUUGUCCUCCAGGCUCCCAAUGCAGCAGGACUGCUUUGGGAUUCAUGGAAGGAGUCAUAGGAUGUGGCAAAUCAAACCUAAAAAAAGAUGGAAUAUUACAUUUCUACCAUGUUUUGCUUAUCCUUAGGAGUUGCACAGGCACCUGUUGUGAUGUUUCAUGCAACCAGCUGUCAUGCAUGCAAAUAUAUGCAAACUGCAGUUGAAUAAUAGAAUAACAGAAGAGUUGGAAGGAACCUUGGAGGUCUUCUAGUCCAACCCCCUGCUCAAACAGGAAUCCCUUUAUCAUUAUUUUGGUAAGUUCCUUCAAAUUGAGAACCUGACCUAACAACCCCACCCAGCAUACCUAAUGCUAAAGGUUGUGAAAGUAUAAAGGGCAGGAUGUUUAAUCUCGAAGAACAGGAGGAAAAGCCACAAUCAAGACAACUGUUAAAUAAGAGAAAUUGGAGUCUGGACGAGAAAUGUAAUAAUUUCUCGUCCAAUAAUUUCACCUCCCUAGUUCUCAUAAAGAUUAAGGAGAAGGGAGCACAAUCAGCCUUGUAAAAUUCUGCUACAGGUAGUCCUUAACAUAUAAUUGCAAUUGAACCUGUAAUACACUUGUCAAGAAACCUUUAUUUACCAACAUUUUCCUUGAUGUAAGUUCUUGCAUUUACCUUAUAUCCCUGGUUUUCUACUGAGCCUCCAAAA